UUCAUUAACGUCUCAGGGAGAGGAGGGGGAAUAAUAUGAUUGGUUAGAAUUAACGUCACUCACGCGCGCUGCUGAGACGGAGCGAAAUGCCUCAGAAAGACUCUGCGGGCUGCGGGAUGAGGAGGGUCGAUGUACGGUUCCGUUUCUCCUCAUUAACAAAUAAGAUAAUAUAAUGUAUUUGUUUACAACAUUAUGGUGUCAAAUAAACCAAACACAAACUGAAAAUGUUUUGUCCCUUGUGACCGACAGUUUUUUGGAGUAAUAGCCUAAAUAACGCAGUGACAAAAAUCUUUCAAAGCAAAUGAAGUGUGCCAGUCAGAUGCACAUGAGAAGUGUAUAGGCUACUUAAAGCUACGCUUCUGUCAAGUUAUACAUUUAUCAAGUUGGUUGGAAUAUUAGCGUACACUCGUGUAGAAUCGGAAACGUAUCAACAACGUUUAUUAGACUGACCGUCUGAAGAGAGAUGGAGACCAUCAGGAAAGAGGAGCGUGUUUAGUUGAGUUGCGGUAAACAGCACCAUCUAGAGGUGAAUACGAGACAUGCGCUUAUCUCUCAUCUCAUACCAGAGCUGAAGUGGGACAACACUCUUGUCGAGGAUUCAGUGUUCCAUCCAGUUCCUUGAUGACAUCAUCCUACAAGAAGUGACAUCAUUUUGGAGGGAAACGAACAACACAAACACCAAUAAGCCCCAAGGUCAACUGAGAAAGCCACAUAUCGAAAGAUAUUGACAUAUUUGAGCAGUUUCUUUGUGAACAGUUUACGGCUAAUAUUGGCGCCACGUCUGCCAUUCCGAGAGAGUGUGGAUAUGGAGGUAUUCAAGGAAACGUGUCUCGCACAUGCAUAAAUAAACAUUCACACAUGCACACAUGUGCGCUGAUGACUGUAGCUGUGGCUGUUUGGCUCUGGCCAGAUGAUGUUUCAGUCCAGCUCUCUGCACUGCUCUCUUCCACCACAUACUGGCUGCCAGCCUGGCCUAUCUACCUCUCACUGUGUGUGUGUGUCUGUAGGAGUGUGUGAAAAGGAGAGAUAGGGCGAGAGAGAGCCGAUCUCUGGGGUUCCGGACACUCCUGCUAUCUUUAGGCACAAUCUGGGCCGGUGCAGGAUUGGACAGAGCAGGCCAGAGAGUGAUAAAUGUUCACCAGCGGCCCAUGUGGCACUGCCAAGAGAUGAGUUUACAUCACAGUCUCAUUACAACUCAGAUACAAGGUUACUAGGACAACAAAACACCAUCCAAAACACAAUGAUGGCAUCUAAAUUUCACUGAACUGAGCGUGAUGGAAUCUAAUGGAAGUCAGACAUGGCGAGAGCCUUAACCCCAACUGACGUUGUGUAGGACAUGUCUCCUCCAAUAUUCAGAUCGGUGCUCAGCUGAUAAGGUUUUUUCAGCGAAUCAUUUUGAAAUUAUUACAUUUGAUUCCUCCAGUCAUGACAAAUGUGAUUACAUCCUUGAAAACAGCUAUUACAGGAAGGC
ensembl:lncRNA